rnacentral:rRNA from 1 species
AGAGAGAGACAUGCGUGCAUAUCAAUAAGCGGAGGAAAAGAAACUAACAUAGGAUUCCCCUCAGUAACGGCGAGUGAAGCGGGAAGAGCUCAAAUUUGAAAUCUUCAAGGGUUCUACCUUUACGAAUUGUAGUUUAAAGAAGUGUUUUCUGUUGAGGUUUUGGUAAAGGGUUCUUUGGAAUAGGACAUCAUAGAGGGUGAGAAUCCCGUAUUUGACCAUUACUUUCCAACUUUGUGAUACACUUUCAAAGAGUCGGAUUGUUUGGGAAUGCAGUCCAAAAUGGGUGGUAAAUUUCAUCUAAAGCUAAAUAUUGGCGAGAGACCGAUAGCGAACAAGUACCGUGAGGGAAAGAUGAAAAGAACUUUGAAAAGAGAGUUAAACAGUACGUGAAAUUGUCAAAAGGGAAGCGUUUGACACCAGUGUUGUUUUCUCGAAAAUCAAUUAAAAAAGGCAGGAUUUUGUGUUGUAUUGACUUUAUCAGCUUUCUGCACUCUUUUCUUGUCUUUUUUAAUGCACUUUUCGUUUAACAAGUCAACAUCAAUUUCUUUUGUUGUAAAAGGGUCAUUGGAAGGUGGCUUUCUUUUCGGAGAAAGUGUUUAUAGCCUUUGGCCUCUGCAAUCGGAGAGAUUGAGGUCUGCAGCGUAGAUCCUUCGGGGUUAGAUACAUUUGUGCUAAGUUAUAGCCUUUCAUAGACAACUUGUUGACUAUGAUCAGUCAUGUAGCUUACUCGCUUAUGCUAUUUUACCUACGCUUAGGAUGUUGAUGUGAUACUGCGAGCA